AUUGAACGCUGGCGGCAGGCCUAACACAUGCAAGUCGAGCGAGCGGCGGACGGGUGAGUAAUGUAUGGGAAACUGCCUGAUCGAGGGGGAUAACUACUGGAAAAGGUGGCUAAUACCGCAUACCAUCAGAUGUGCCCAUAUGGGAUUAGCUAGUAGGUGGGGUAAAGGCUCACCUAGGCGACGAUCCCUAGCUGGUCUGCGAGGAUGAUCAGCCACACUGGGGCUGAGACACGGCCCAGACUCCUACGGGAGGCAGCAGUGGGGAAUAUUGCACAAUGGGCGCAAGCCUGAUGCAGCCAUGCCGCGUGUAUGAAGAAGGCCUUAGGGUUGUAAAGCACUUUCAGCGGGGAGGCGUUACCCGCAGAGGAAGCACCGGCUAACUCCGUGCCAGCAGCCGCGGUAAUAC
rnacentral:rRNA from 1 species